rnacentral:lncRNA from 1 species
UGGACUUUGAAAUUGUAAGUGUUUUACAUAUUACCAAACUUAAGUUUUUAAGAUAGUCCCUAAAAUUGAAAGAAUAGUAUCUGAAAUGAAUGAAUCUAAAUUCCUUGGAUUGCAUUCUACAGGCGCCAACCCUGAGACCAAAAUUUGGAAGGUGGCCCUGAGCAGGAGCUGAAGGGAAGUGGGAGGUUGCCUGUUCACUCUGGCUAGUCAUAUGCAGAAAACUGAAACUAGACCCCUUCCUGACACCUUAUAUAAAAAUUAACUCAAGAUGGAUUAAAGAUUUAAACGUAAGACCCAAAACCAGAAAAAUCCUAGAAGAAAACCUAGGCAAUACCAUUCAGGACAUAAGCAUGGGCAAAGACUUCAUGACUAAAACACCA